CCAAUGGGGGAGUGAGUCAGUUGAUUACACAAAUUUUGCAUAGAUAACUUUGAGAGUGGCUAAAGUCUGUCUUCUGCCUACAUUUCCCAGAAUGCUGUGCAUUUCUAGAUCGGAGUUCAGCCUGCCUGAAGAAAUAACCCUACACCCCAACACCAGCUGGGCAGAGAUGGAGAGCGUCAGUAGAGAGCAGAGAGGAAGCAUGUUGACAACCCUGAGGAAGUCUCAACAGUAAACACCUGCCAAGCACCAAAUGUCUGGAACAUUGACUACAGUGGAUAAAUCAGCAGGACAGGGUACAGCGACUCCACCAUCGAUCUAUUUCACUGGACGACUCGUCUUCAUUAACCUCACCUGUUCUAAGGCGACGUCUGCAUGCAUGAGGGCAGACAAGCUACUCUGGGAUGCGACCCAGCAAACACGCCGAUUCAUCUCAAAUGCAAAGAGGGGUCAGGAAAGGCUCCCCGGUACCUUAUGUUUGUCAGCUGACAUUAAAGACAGCCGAGUCUGGC